GACGAAAUAUGCCAUAAUUCGUCGGCUAAACCUUAUAAAAAAUUUAAAAAUACUAUAGCCGACGAAUAAACCUUUAAAUAUCGUCGGCUAAACCUUUAAAUAUCGUCGGCUAAACUUGCUGGUUUUUGAAAAAAAAACUGUAGAAACUUUCGGCCACCUCCAAUCACCACCAAAAUUUAACAGAAUCUUCCUCUCAACAUUUCGAACAACUUUCUAGAAGAAGUCGAAGCCCAAUUCUAAGCUUAAACAGGUCAAUCGAAUCAAAAUAUAAAAAUCCCCAAUUUUAAACCCUAAAAACUUCAAAUCUUCGAUUCUCCUCACACACACCGAAUCGAGCUACCAAAUUCUAGGGGAAUGUAGUACUAAUCAAACUCAACUUAUCUAUAUAUAGAACUCACCAAAUGGUGACCUGAGGAAGGAGAAAUUCGAUCGACACCGAAUCCGAACCGGCGGAGUUUUGGAGCUCGAUUUAUCUCUCACGGCGGCGCCACUCGAUGCACCACCUGUCCAGCAAUGAAGUAGAGACGACGGCGAAGCUUUCGGGACAAGUGUGGCGGUCUCCGGUGGCUUGACGGCGGAGCUAGGCCGAGAAGAAAAUCUGGCAGGCGAAAUAGACUUCUUACCAUCCACCUUCGGUAAACUCCUAUAUAAAGAACUUUAGCCGACGAAAUUCUUUAUUUUCGUCGGCUAAACUCUUUUUGAAACUUUUGAAAAUUUUGAAAAUUUUGGUUGACCGCCAAAAAAUUUUGAAAAUUUUUCGACUUUAGCCGACGACUUUUCAUAUAUUUUCGUCGGCUAAAGUCCUUUGAAAAUUUUCCUCCAAAAUUUGGUUUACCGCCCAAAAGUUUUUGACCUUAGCCGACGACUUUUUUAAUAUCUUGUCGGCUAAAGUCUAUAAAUUCACGAAAACGCUCAUAUCUCCCUCUAUAUUACGUAGUUUGGUCAAACCUUCCACACGAAAAACUUUCACGUAGAUGAGACGCAACCGCCUAUAUAAAAAUUUUGAGACAUUUGCCUUCUGACGACAAGGCUCCCCAUAAGGAAAAUAACGGUAAAUAGGGUUGACCGCUACUAUCGGCACCGAGACUUUACCCGAUUUACGUGAUUUUUGAACCAUAGCCGUAUUUCACCAUUCUGAACAUAUCUUAUUUUACGAGAUUUUUGAUAAUUUUGCUUCCUAUAUAGAGUUGGUUCACAAAGUUGUAUAACCAACUAAACAAGUUAUACAACAUUAGUAGACACGUUGUGAUUCCGAUGACUAAAAUUCACAAACCAAAAUUCGACCGUCAGAUAUGAUCAUUAUGACGAAAUAUGUUUAUGGUAAAAAAUUUAACUGGAUCCGACAACGUUAAAGACUCGAUCGAAACGGUUAACCCUAAUCCAUCGUCACUUACCACACGAAAAUGCUCAUAUCUCCCUCUAUAUUACGUGGUUUGGUCAAACCUUCCACACAAAAAACUCUCACGUAGAUGAUGCGCAACUGCCCAUAUAAAAAAUUUUGAGACAUUUACCUUCCGACGAUAGGGCUCCCCAUAGGGAAUAAUAACGGUAAAUAGUAGACACGUUGUGAUUCCGAUGACUAAAAUUUACAAACCAAAAUUCAACCGUCCGAUAUGAUCAUUAUGACGAAAGAUGUCUAUGGUAAAAAAUUCAACUGGAUUCGACAACGUUAAGGGCUCGAUCGAAACGGUCAACUUUAAUCGAAAAUAAGAAAACUGCAUUUUGAAGCCCUAAACGGACUCGGAUGGCCAAAAAGGCCUACACAUCAUGGCUUUAGCGAUGAGUUUGACUCGUAGCGCCAUUACGCUUCCGGAAAGGUAUCACAAUAGUCAAUCGGACACCAAAAACCAAAUCUGCAGCAUAGUGAAUAAUAAGGGUAAAUUGCAUUGACUGCAACUAUCGGCACCGAGACUUUACCGGAAUACCAUGAUUUUUCAACUGUAGACGUAUUUCACCAUUCUGGUCAUAUCUUAUUUCACGACUUUUUUGCGUUUGAAUGUUCUACGUAUAGUUUUUUUUUCCCAGAUGUGUUGUUGUCCAAAUCUGUAAAUAUAAGGCACUUUAGCCGACGAAAUUAAGGCACUUUAGCCGACGAAAUUAUAUUUUUCGUCGGCUAAACUUUUAAAAAUUUCGUCGGCUAAAGUUCACAGACUAUAGCCGACGAAAAAAAUUAUUCAGAUGACGAAAUUUUAAUUUCGUCGGCUAAAGUUGACCAUAGCCGACAAAAAAUUUUAAUUAACCGACGAAGGGAAAUUUCGUCGGCCUGGUUUUUUUAUUUUUGUCGGCUAAAGUCUUUCUUCUGGUAGUGAUUUUUUAGCCGACGAAAAUAAAUUUCGUCGGCUAAAGUUAUUUAUAUUCGCAGAUCUGGACAGCAGCUCAUCUAAGAAAAAAAACACGGGAGAAGAAAAAACGGGAGAAAAAGUUUGGGUGUUGUUGAAAUAUGUCCAUAAUUAAGAAGUGGAGCUAUAUAUAGGUACGUACAUGUGUAUAUAUGUUUAUUUUGAGUUUUAUUUGAGUUGAUCGAUUUUGAGUGUGAUUGAAUUGAUAGAUUUUGAGUACGUUGGAUGUAUAUAUAUAUAUAUGUUGAUCGAUUUGGUUGAUGAUUUGAUAAUAUAUAUGAAGUUGUUGUUAAUAAGUAGUAGAUAUAUAUAUAUAUUUUAAUUAAUUUAUAAUAUUGUGUUGAUGGUAUGAAGUUGUUGAUGAUGAUUUUGUAAUGAUGUUGAUAUAUAUAAUAUUGUUAUGUAAUUAUUAAUUAAGUAUAUCUAUAUAUAUAUGUGUGUUAAUUAAUUUGUUAUCAAUUAGUUAUAGUACGUAGAAUAUAUAUAUAAAUGAAUUGAGAUUUUAUAUAUAUUUGGCAUAGAAUUUAAUUAAUAAUUAGUUAGCGUUAUACAUAUAUAUUUUGUUAUAUUUUCAGGAUAUGGAUAAGAGUUGGAUUUCGCUUCCAAAAUGGGACAAAAGAUAUGGUAAAGGAAAUUAUGAGUUUUCUGGAAUAUGCGCUGGCUAAUGCUAACGGGAAUACAAAUUUCUAUUGCCCGUGCACGAAAUGUCAGUGUCGCAACGAUAUUCAUCGAUUUGCGAUUGAAAAAGUAUGGCAGCACCUGAAGAGUAACGGGUUUUGGGAGAAGUACACAUGUUGGUUAUAUUAAGGUGAAACAUCAUCAGGGUUGGGUCCGCAUGAUCAUGGCCAAUUUUCUGAGACGGGCAGUACUAGUACAUCCAACGAUCCAACAACGGCCUUCAUCAACGACAUGUUUCCUUAUGAGAGUGGUGUAUGUGCUCAAGGACAAUAUAUGCCUGACCCGGUGCAACCCUUCCCUAGAGCUGUCAACAUUGCUAGUAUUGACAAGUACAACAAACUGCUUGCUUUCCAACAGACCCCUGUGUACCCCGGUUGUCAGAAGACCGUUCUUGAAAGUGUGAUGAACGUAAUGAAGAUUAAAGUUGAGACAACCGUGAAGGCUGUUGAUGAUUAUCUACAGUCCACUGCUUCGAUGCUGCCCCACGGUCAUCGUCUUCCUAAUUCGUCGGCUAUAGUAUUUUUAUUUUUUUUUUAAAUAAGUUUUAGCCGACGAAAUACGCUUUAAUUCGUCGGCUAAACCCCUAUAAAGCCGACGAAAUAGACUAUAUUUGGUCGGCUUUAGUUAUUUUUUAUUUUU
rnacentral:lncRNA from 1 species